rfam:Cucumis melo, WGS project CAJI01000000 data, contig: 10272
GUCCCUUCGGGAACAUCAAUAAAAUUGGAACGAUACAGAGAAAAUUAGCAUGGCCAGGAAGGAUGACACACCCAAGUUGAAUCAAAAGUCUCAGCUUA